GAAGGAAGGAAGGAAGGAAGGAAGGAAGGAAGGAAGGAAGGAAAUGUUUCAAGCUUUUAGAGGCCAGCAAGUCCACACCACAGUCUCAGCAGGGGUCCAUGGCAAAGCUUGCUGUAGAUUUGGAUGCUGAGCCCUGCCUGAGUGCUGAACUCCCAAGUACCUCUUCAGAGACUUAGCAUGGCUCUUGCAGAAGAUAAAGCCAGGCUAUGGGACAGUCUUGUGGCAGAACCUUUCUAGGAGUUUUAGAACACUUGGAAAAUUUCUUUAGUGGGAGGCUGGAGUCUCAGAGGUCACAGCUGAAGCUCUAGGAGUGCUUCCAAGCCUCUGGGAAUGACCAUCACGGCCCCUCCUGACCAUGCAAAAGAUGAAGCCCAGGCACACUGCUGAUUCCCACUCUACUGCUGAUUUCAUUGCAAGGGCCAUAGAGGUUGCACGUCAGACGCCUGGAGAGUCAGGACUGCAGGUUGCCUCCUCAGGUGCUUUA